rnacentral:lncRNA from 1 species
UCUAAUGGGAAAGGAUAGUGGAUAGAUAAGAAAAAAAAGGUUUGCAAAACAUAAAAAUUACCAAACGAGGUUAACAAUAUUGAAUCAAUGAAAUCAUUAGAAAGAAAAACGUGAUUAAUUGGGCAUAGGAGAUAAGCAGUUAGGAGCCGCAGGGGCCACAACCCUAUAUAUAUAUUUUUUAUUUUAUUUAUAAAUAAUAAUGAUAGCUUUCUUUCUCUCUGCUCCUAGAUUUUCUCUGGUCCCCCUCUUGUUCGCUGCCGUCGACCGGUCUUUACACGACGUCUCUCCCACUCAGCCCUUCUUUGUGGCCUUUCGGUUUUUCACUCGUACUCUCUUUUUGCAACUCCAUUAUGCAGUUUCCCCCCUCUGCCGACCAGCGCCACUGCUCCUCGUGUCUCUCUAUGCUUCUCCAUCUCAUUUCACAUUUGCAGCGGCCCGCUGCCAACGCCAUCAUUUGGUCUUGGUACUCAUACUAUCUCAAUCCGCUUCUUAGAUUUUUCAAGUACUUACUCUUUUCCUCUUCUACUAUUUGUUAAUUUUGAAUUAUUUUUAGUUUAAAAUUGUGAACUAGUAGUAGCGUGUGAAUUGUAUUUGUGACUUUGUUAAUUGUGAACGAUUUUAGUGUGAGAAUCGAAAUUGUAAACUUUAGCGUGUAAAUUGUGAUGAUUAGCGUAGUAUGGAUUUAAGAUUGUGAAUUUGUGAAUUGGUUUACUUUGUGAAUGUGAAUUGUAACCUUG